rnacentral:misc_RNA from 1 species
AAGUCGUAACAAGGUCUCCGUUGGUGAACCAGCGGAGGGAUCAGUCCAAAACGUAAUUAAAACGUUUAACACCGUUUUAAAAACCCAACCGUGCUCUUUGUUUUUAAGUAUGCCAUUUUUAGAGGUUUGGGCGUAUGUAUUUGUGUUACAACAAAUACAACAAAUUCUAAAUUUCUACUUUGUAUUAACCUAUUAACCCUUUUAUUUUACUGUUACAACUGAUUUGGGUGCCAACGGACAACAACAACAACACUUGUUGUUGCUGUUGUUCCGACGGUACCAAGUAUAAAAUAAAUAUGAUACAACUCAUGCCGGCGGAUACCUUGGUUCUC